GACGAACGCUGGCGGCGUGCUUAACACAUGCAAGUCGAACGGAAAGGCCCGGCUUUUGUGGGGUGCUCGAGUGGCGAACGGGUGAGUAACACGUGAGUAACCUGCCCUUGACUUUGGGAUAACUUCAGGAAACUGGGGCUAAUACCGGAUAGGAGCUCCUGCUGCAUGGUGGGGGUUGGAAAGUUUCGGCGGUUGGGGAUGGACUCGCGGCUUAUCAGCUUGUUGGUUGGGUAGUGGCUUACCAAGGCUUUGCCGGGUAGCCGGCCUGGGAGGGUGACCGGCCACAUUGGGACUGAGCUACGGCCCAGACUCCUACGGGAGGCAGCAGUGGAGAAUAUUGCACAAUGGGCGGAAGCCUGAUGCAGCAACGCCGCGUGCGGGAUGACGGCCUUCGGGUUGUAAACCGCUUUCGCCUGUGACGAAGCGUGAGUGACGGUAAUGGGUAAAGAAGCACCGGCUAACUACGUG
rnacentral:rRNA from 1 species